UAACCUGUAUGACUUUCUUACUUAAAGUGAAGACCAUGACAUUUUACAGUCCCAGUCACUCACUUCGUAUUGAGAAGAGACGCAAGUGAUGAAAGUAAAUUAUUCUACACUGGCCCCAGUGCACAAUUCAUGAGGCUGGUUGUGCUGUCUGAUGAGCAGAGGCGGGCUGUCCUGGAGGAGUGCCACAACAACCCUGGCACAGGGAACCAUGGGGGCGUGAGGGCGACCAUGGACAGGGUUGUUGUGGGGUACUACUGGGAUAACAUAAAGGCAGAUGUGGCAGAGACUGGGUACUUUUUUGGAACUUUCAUGGAAUUUAACACUAUGGCUCUCAGGCAAUGAAUUGAUUUAAUGGCUUUGUUUGACUUCAGAUAAUUAUUUGGUCUAAAUAAUAAAUGUAUCCAUCAGGUCAAAAGCUGUCACAGAUGCCAAAAGAACGACCCCAUAAAGACUGUGUCUCCUGUCCUUCACCCUAUUAAGAAUUUCAGAAAUUGGAACCUGCUCACACUGCCAAAAGUACCAAUACCUGGUUUAAUGACCAAGGAGUCACUGUGCUUGAUUGCCCUGCAAACUCGUCUGACCUGAAUCCCAAAGGGAAUCUAUUGGGCAUUGCCAACAGGAAGAUCGGAGGUAUGAGAUACAACAAUGCAGGAGGAACAGGUAGAAGUGGAGGAGCUGCCCCUCACAUUGAAACAUAUGUACCAGGCAGAAUACAUCGUGAGGAACAGUGUUGGGCUUUUCACUGGCCAGGUGCAAGAACCCUCAUACAUGUUGAUGGAUCAUGAUGACCAAAGGAAC